rnacentral:rRNA from 1 species
AGUGAACGCUGGCGGUAGGCCUAACACAUGCAAGUCGAACGGCAGCACAGUAAGAGCUUGCUCUUACGGGUGGCGAGUGGCGGACGGGUGAGGAAUACAUCGGAAUCUACUUUUUCGUGGGGGAUAACGUAGGGAAACUUACGCUAAUACCGCAUACGACCUACGGGUGAAAGCAGGGGAUCUUCGGACCUUGCGCGAUUGAAUGAGCCGAUGUCGGAUUAGCUAGUUGGCGGGGUAAAGGCCCACCAAGGCGACGAUCCGUAGCUGGUCUGAGAGGAUGAACCACCAACAUGGAACCUGGGCCCCGUCCAGACUCCCAAGGGGAGGAGCAGUGGGGAAUAUUUGGCCAUUGGGGGAAGGCCUGACCCGGCAAUCCGCGUUGGUGAAGGAGGGCUUCGGGUUGUAAAGCCCUUUUGUUGGGAAAGAAAAGCAGCAGGUUAAUACCCCGCUGUUCUGACGGUACCCAAAGAAUAAGCACCGGCUAACUUCGUG